GGAUUAGAUACCCUGGUAGUCCACGCCGUAAACGAUGUCUACUAGCCGUUGGGGAACUUGAUUCUUUGGUGGCGCAGUUAACGCGAUAAGUAGACCGCCUGGGGAGUACGGCCGCAAGGUUAAAACUCAAAUGAAUUGACGGGGGCCCGCACAAGCGGUGGAGCAUGUGGUUUAAUUCGAUGCAACGCGAAGAACCUUACCAGGCCUUGACAUCCUUGGAAUCCUGUAGAGAUACGGGAGUGCCUUCGGGAAUCAAGUGACAGGUGCUGCAUGGCUGUCGUCAGCUCGUGCCG
rnacentral:rRNA from 1 species